rnacentral:tRNA from 1 species
GUAGAUAUAGUUUAAACAAAACUCUAAAUUGUGAAUUUAGAAAUAGAGACUCAUACCCUCUUAUCUACC